UACGUAGGGUGCGAGCGUUAAUCGGAAUUACUGGGCGUAAAGGGUGUGUAGGCGGUUCGGAAAGAAGGAUGUGAAAUUCCAGGGCUUAACCUUGGAACGGCAUUUUUGACUACCGGGCUAGAGUGUGUCAGAGGGAGGUGGAAUUCCGCGUGUAGCAGUGAAAUGCGUAGAGAUGCGGAGGAACACCGAUGGCGAAGGCAGCCUCCUGGGAUGACACUGACGCUGAAGUGCGAAAGCGUGGGGAGCAAACAGG
rnacentral:rRNA from 1 species